rnacentral:rRNA from 1 species
AAAGGAAUAGACGGGGGCCCGCACAAGCGGUGGAGCAUGUGGUUUAAUUCGAUGCAACGCGAAGAACCUUACCAGGGCUUGACAUCUUGCGAAUCCGAUGGAAACAUUGGAGUGCCCUUUAAGGGAACGCAAAGACAGGUGGUGCAUGGUUGUCGUCAGCUCGUGUCGUGAGAUGUUGGGUUAAGUCCCGCAACGAGCGCAACCCUUGCCCUUAGUUGCCAUCACGUGAAGGUGGGCACUCUAAGGGGACUGCCGGUGACAAACCGGAGGAAGGUGGGGAUGACGUCAAAUCAUCAUGCCCUUUAUGUCCUGGGCUACACACGUGCUACAAUGGCCGGUACAGAGGGCAGCGAACUCGUGAGGGGGAGCCAAUCCCAAAAAGCCGGCCUAAGUUCGGAUUGCAGGCUGCAACUCGCCUGCAUGAAGUCGGAAUCGCUAGUAAUCGCGGAUCAGCAUGCCGCGGUGAAUACGUUCCCGGGCCUUGUACACACCGCCCGU